AGAGUUUGAUCCUGGCUCAGAAUGAACGCUGGCGGCGUGCUUAACACAUGCAAGUCGUACGAGAACGCUUCAGCUUGCUGAAGCUAGUAAAGUGGCGCACGGGUGAGUAACGCGUGGGUAAUCUACCUCCGAAUUGGGGAUAACGUUGCGAAAGCGACGCUAAUACCGGAUAAUAUCGAGAGGACUUCGGUUUUUUCGAUCAAAGGUGGCCUCUUCAUGAAAGCUACUGUUUGGAGAUGAGCCCGCGUCCCAUUAGCUUGUUGGUGGGGUAAAAGCCCACCAAGGCCGCGAUGGGUAGCUGGUCUGAGAGGAUGAUCAGCCACACUGGAACUGACACACGGUCCAGACUCCUACGGGAGGCAGCAGUGAGGAAUUUUGCGCAAUGGGGGAAACCCUGACGCAGCAACGCCGCGUGAGUGAUGAAGGCUUUCGGGUCGUAAAGCUCUGUCAAGUGGGAAGAACCACUUUGAGGAUAAUACCCUCGAGGUCUGACGGUACCACUGAAGGAAGCACCGGCUAACUCCGUGCCAGCAGCCGCGGUAAUACGGGGGGUGCAAGCGUUAUUCGGAUUUACUGGGCGUAAAGCGCGCGUAGGCGGCCGUUUAAGUCAGAUGUGAAAGCCCGGGGCUUAACCCCGGAAGUGCAUUUGAUACUAUUCGGCUUGAGUAUGGGAGAGGGAAGUGGAGUUCCUGGUGUAGAGGUGAAAUUCGUAGAUAUCAGGGGGAACAC
rnacentral:rRNA from 1 species